rnacentral:rRNA from 1 species
AAGCGGUGGAGUAUGUGGUUAAUUCGAUGCAACGCGAAGAACCUUACCUGGUCUUGACAUCCCGGAGACCCUUAGGAAACUAGGGGGUGCUUCCAUCUGGAAGAAUCUGGAGACAGGUGCUGCAUGGCUGUCGUCAGCUCGUGUCGUGAGAUGUUGGGUUAAGUCCCGCAACGAGCGCAACCCUUGCCUUUAGUUGCCAGCAGUUCGGCUGGGCACUCUAAAGGGACUGCCGGUGUUAAACCGGAGGAAGGUGGGGAUGACGUCAAGUCCUCAUGGCCUUUAUGACCAGGGCUACACACGUACUACAAUGGCCGAUACAAAGGGCAGCGACACUGCGAGGUGAAGCCAAUCCCGUAAAAUCGGUCUCAGUCCGGAUUGGAGUCUGCAACUCGACUGCGUGAAGUCGGAAUCGCUAGCAAUCGUGAAUCAGAAUGUCACGGUGAAUACGUUCCCGGGCCUU